UGCCUCCUGUGAUGUACCGGCCUGGCAGUUCCUUGAUUCUGCAGGAGUCCGCAAUAUGAAGGCCACGAAUGUAGUAGUUUGUUUGUGACAUCCACACCUAUGAACACAUACUUACCUGCCAAAAUACUUAUGUGGGAGACUCCUCAGAUUGUGGAGACCCCAGAUUGUGGAGGCUCCUGGGCACAGCUGGUCUUUUUGUGGACUCCUAAAUCUGGCACUGAACAAAAUUCUCUCUCUCUCUCUCUCUCUCUCUCUCUCUCUCUCUCCCUCUCUCUCUCUCUCUCCCUCUCUCUCUCUCUCUCUCUCUCUCUCUCUCUCUCUCUCUCUCUCUCUCUCUCUCUCUCUCUCUCUCUCUCUCUCUCUCUC